rnacentral:rRNA from 1 species
GAGUUUGAUCAUGGCUCAGAACGAACGCUGGCGGCAGGCUUAACACAUGCAAGUCGAGCGCCCCGCAAGGGGAGCGGCAGACGGGUGAGUAACGCGUGGGAACGUACCAUUUGCUACGGAAUAACUCAGGGAAACUUGUGCUAAUACCGUAUGUGCCCGAAAGGGGAAAGAUUUAUCGGCAAAUGAUCGGCCCGCGUUGGAUUAGCUAGUUGGUGGGGUAAAGGCCUACCAAGGCGACGAUCCAUAGCUGGUCUGAGAGGAUGAUCAGCCACACUGGGACUGAGACACGGCCCAGACUCCUACGGGAGGCAGCAGUGGGGAAUAUUGGACAAUGGGCGCAAGCCUGAUCCAGCCAUGCCGCGUGAGUGAUGAAGGCCCUAGGGUUGUAAAGCUCUUUCACCGGUGAAGAUAAUGACGGUAACCGGAGAAGAAGCCCGGCUAACUUCGUGCCAGCCGCCGCCGUAAC